ACACGUAGUGGCCUGACGUUGUUCGGAAUCAUUGGGCGUAAAGGGCGCGCAGGCGGCCGUCCAAGUCCGGUGUUAAAUGGUCGGGCUCAACCCGAUCAUGCGCUGGAAACUGGGCGGCUUGAGUCCCGUAGGGGAUGCCGGAAUUCCAGGUGUAGGGGUGAAAUCUGUAGAUAUCUGGAAGAACACCGAUGGCGAAGGCAGGCAUCUGGCCGGAGACUGACGCUGAGGCGCGAAGGCGCGGGGAGCGAACAGGUUUAGAUACCCUGGUAGGCCGCGCAGUAAACGAUGCGCACCAGGUGUCGGGCGGCAGCGCCCGGUACCGGAGCUAACGCGAUGAGUGCGCCGCCUGGGGAGUAUGCCCGCAAGGGUGAAACUCAAAUGAAUUGACGGG
rnacentral:rRNA from 1 species